UAAUUGUGACGACCGCCGAGAAGAAUUGACUCUAUUUUCUCUUAAACCUUCGCGCACAUCAGACGUGAAAAUGAAAGUAAUCGUUUUGUUUCUGCUUCUCGCGAUAGCGACCACUACGACAUCAAGUGCAGUAGCUAUCAGUUCUGUUAAUCCCUCACUUGAUACACAAUUGAGCACCGAUCAAGAUUCUACGCCCAAGAAUGUGCGAGUUUCCAGAUCUUCUGAUGGAUUCGAUGUUGACGAAAUGCCUAAAGUAAAGUUAACGAGAGGAAAAUUUGCGGAUGAAAAGGUUAAUGUGAAUGGUGUGAAAAGAGACAGCGGAGGUGUGAUGACGAUUGUUCUCAAGUUUAUCAAAGAGCUGCUUGCCCAUUUUAAUAUAAAUUUAGAGAUGUAGGCUAGUCACUAUUUCUGACACUAAAAUAUUUUACUCCAUUGGCGGUAAUGGCGGUAUCAUCAACCACAUCAACUCAACAUUUAGUUUUGGUUAAAUCGAAAGUUGAAAAAGUUAUUAAAUUAAGUCGUUUAAAGGAUAAUAAACACUGUCCAAAACAA